ACGAACGCUGGAUGCUGCUUAACACAUGCAAGUCGAACGGAGUGGCGAACGGGUGAGUAAAGCGUGAGCAACCUGCCUAUGACAGUGGGAUAGCCUCGGGAAACCGGGAUUAAUACCGCAUAGUCAUAGAUGGGCUAGCGUCGGAUUAGGUAGUGGGUGCGAUAACAAGCCACCAAGGCGACGAUCAGUAGCCGGUCUUAGAGGAGGAACGGCCACAUUGGAACUGAGACACAGUCCAAACUCCUACGGGAGGCAGCAGUGGGGAAUAUUGCACAAUGGAGUAAACCCUGAUGCAGCGACGCCGCGUGAACAAAGAAGGUAUUCGUAUCGUAAAGUUCUUUCCUAUGGGAAGCAGUACCAUAGAAUAAAGCUCCGGCUAAAUACGUGCCAGCAGCCGCGGUAAUUC
rnacentral:rRNA from 1 species